GCAUUCUGAUCUCUGCUGAGCUACCCCACUGGACUCAGAAGAGUCUGACCCACAUGUCACAUUUCAGCUGUUGGCUUGUUUGUUUUUAAUCUCAAUCUAGUUUAAUUGGAAUAAGUAUCUUAUUGUACUCUUCUUCAUGUACUUAUGUGAUAUGACAAAAUGACUACCUGAUGAGAUGAAGUGAGGUGAAUGACAUCGGCAUUGUGACACAGCGUUUGGCUUCUCUCGACCUUAACGAUAUAUCAGAAAGAGGAUCAUCUACUUCCGGAGCAUGGCUAACCACAGCUCAGCUCAAGACAUAGAACUCCUCCAGGACACACCUUCCUAGACACACUUCUUCUUCACCUUGAUGACAGUGUUUUACCCUGCCUCUUAUUCAAACAACUCUCUCAAUCAAUACAGGAGACCCAGUGCUAUUUUAAUAUUCCAGGACAGAUUUACGAGGGGCAGGGGAAGGUAACUCACCUCCCGUCAUGGCAGAAUGAUACAAAAGGGGGAUGUUCUCCAGAAUGUUCUGGGAGCAACUUCCCAUAGGGUAUUUUCAACUUUCUGGGGAAAAAAAAAAAGUCCUCAUGACUCAAAUCUGAUCAUACUUCCUUAUCGGUCAAUACCCUUUCCCCUCCUCACCUAAGCAACUCCUACUUAUUCUUCAAGUAUCAGUUCUGCCACAAAGUCAAUUCUAAUUUGCUUGGACAGUUCAAAUUCUCCUAUUAGAAGUUGUCAUUCCUCCAAUCUCCCCCAUCACAUCACAUGUUAGAAUUAUAAUUCUAUAUGUAUUAAUGUAAUUAAGGUCCAUUUACUCUACUUGACCCCUCUCUCCCUGUCUGUUUUUGUUCACUUUUGAAUCAUCAGAAGCAAGGUCACUUUCUAGCACAUGGUAGGUGCUAACAAAAUAUUUAAGUUUGUUGAAUGAAUAAAUGACUGUAAAGUUUACGUCCUUGAAUGAGCGAAGCAACCUCUUUCCCCUUAAGAUCUUACUGUUCUCUCAGUCUAGAAUAUCUUUCUCUUGAAAUGCAUAUCGUAGUCUUAACAAUUCCAUUAGCAGCAUUUGUCAAAUUAUUAAUGGAGGUCUUUCACCUAUUAUUAUAAUUCAGUAAGCCACUUCUUCCCCCCCCCCAUAGCUCUCAUACGUUCUUGCUUUUUGGUUGUUCCCCUCACCCCUCCAAAAGA